AUUGAACGCUGGCGGAAUGCUUUACACAUGCAAGUCGAACGGCAGCACGGACUUCGGUCUGGUGGCGAGUGGCGAACGGGUGAGUAAUGUAUCGGAACGUGCCCAGUCGUGGGGGAUAACGUAGUGAAAAUUACGCUAAUACCGCAUACGAUCUAGGGAUGAAAGCGGGGGAUCGCAAGCCCUCGCGCGAUUGGAGGGGCGGAUAUCAGAUUAGGUAGUUGGUGGGGUAAAGGCCCACCAAGCCAACGAUCUGUAGCUGGUCUGAGAGGACGACCAGCCACACUGGAACUGAGACACGGUCCAGACUCCUACGGGAGGCAGCAGUGGGGAAUUUUGGACAAUGGGCGAAAGCCUGAUCCAGCCAUUCCGCGUGCAGGAUGAAGGCCCUCGGGUUGUAAACUGCUUUUGUACAGAACGAAAAGGUUUCUACUAAUACUAGGAGCUCAUGACGGUACUGUAAGAAUAAGCACCGGCUAACUACGUGCCAGCCGCCGCGGUAA
rnacentral:rRNA from 1 species